rnacentral:rRNA from 1 species
GUUUCAGCCGCCGCGGUAAUACGUAGGGUGCGAGCGUUAAUCGGAAUUACUGGGCGUAAAGCGUGCGCAGGCGGUGAUGUAAGACAGAUGUGAAAUCCCCGGGCUCAACCUGGGACCUGCAUUUGUGACUGCAUCGCUAGAGUACGGUAGAGGGGGAUGGAAUUCCGCGUGUAGCAGUGAAAUGCGUAGAUAUGCGGAGGAACACCGAUGGCGAAGGCAAUCCCCUGGACCUGUACUGACGCUCAUGCACGAAAGCGUGGGGAGCAAACAGGAUUAGAAACCCGAGUAGUCC